UUUACACUUUUAUUCCACCCUUAUAGAAAGAACCAACGAUGAUUGAAUGGUUUGAGCGAAUUGGAGACGUCCCAUCGUUUCCACUCGCAUCCCCUCUUUACUCAGGCCAGGUCCAUACAAAUCCCCAUUACAACCUAGAACCCUAGCAAAGUUCAAUUCACGCUCUCUCCAAUCUCAUUUUUUCUCUCGAUCUGGAACCCUAGCCUCCUCUAUCCCUCUCCAAUGUAGAACACCGAUUUGAAGAAAACCUAACCGAUUUGUUGGUUUGUUCCUAUUCUUGUCCCUGAUCUUGUUUCAGUUCUUGUUGUUCAAAUAUUGUUAUAGAAUCUGUUAAUUUUUUGUAACAUGUGAAUCACACACACAAAUCGAGGAUGACCCUACCUGAUGAUGUGAACUUGGAAUAAGGAAGGCGUACCGAAAGGCCUCUAUAGGUGAAAACAAACGCCCCGGUUAGUUGAUCUCAUCUAAUUGUGGGGGCAGGCUGGUAUUAUUUGAAACAUAUACAAAGGAAGCUUUCAAGAGCCCAGAAUCAAGAGUAGUCUUCAAGGACCAUACAGAUUAAUGGGUUUUUAUUGUUCGGAGGGACAGAGACAGAGAUAGAGACAGAGACUGAAAACGAGACAGAGACGACCGUGUCCGUCCCCGGCACCGGCACCGCCACCUCGACCAUGAUCGUGACAGAGACCGUAAAGACAGGAAUAAAAGGUCACACACACCAGACCAUGUUUACUGACUUGAUUUUAUAUAAAAAUGAUAAAUAGUGUCACAGUUGAUACUACACCAGAUCACGAACCCGUUCCCCUGACCACCGCCGGUCACGCUCUCGCUCCACCGACAGACACCGUAGAAAAAGCCACCACCGUACCCCAUUUCCAGACCACUCACGUAAGCGUCGCAGGUACGACAACAACAACAACAAGCGUACUGCAGCUGUGGUUUCAGAUUUUGUGGAUGAGAUUGUGAAGGAGAAGCAGCAGAAGAGUAAGAAAGAUAAGGAGGUGGAAGUGAGUGAUAGUGGUGAGAUGGAUGCUGAUGAAAUUGACAUGAUGAAAAUGAGGGGGAUUCCGGUUGGGUUCGAUUUAACUAAAGGGAAGCAUGUUGAAGGGAAUGAUGUCAGUGGGAUUAGAGUGGUGACGAAACAACAGCCCAGACAAUAUAUGAAUCGUCGCGGUGGGUUUAAUCGCCCGUUGCUGGCUGAAGUGAAUCUUUUAUUGAGGUCAGGGUUUUGUUUUGUUGAAUUUAAUUUGGAAUUGUGUUUUGGUUUAGUUGGAUUUGUUGCUUUUUAUCUGCAUUGUGAAAAAGGAUAUGCGUAUGCAUUAUUUAAGUGAUUUACAUGAUGAGGGGGAUGGUUUGUUAUGAACACAAAUGUUAGAUAUGACUUGACUUGCAAAUUGUAAAAGCAUUGACUACUUAUUGAUAAGAGGCUCUGAAGGGUGGUUUAGGUUAUGAGGCAUAAGGCGGGAGCUUCACGUAUGUGUGCUAAGAGGAAACGAAUCGAAGGGUUGAAAAUCGCGUAUCUUUUAUAUGUAUUUUUGAAGUUACCCAAUCCAAUCCGCAAAUCCAAUCAUGGCAUAUGUAUAUGUGAGCUUUGUAUCUGGAACAUUAAUGGAUGGGAGAAGAGGAAAUCACGAAGCAUACAAUCGCCACCUGGCCAUCCAUCUUCACUAGUUUGGAGAAACUAAAGUUCAGUUCCAUAAUGAUCAACGGCAUCUCCUUGUUGUACAUGAAAGUCAAAUUGCCAUUUAUGACCACCAACUGGAAUGCUUGAAGUUGGUAAAUAGUUGGACUCACACCUCACUUUUAACUAUCCCAAUGAACCAUACAUCAUUUAACUAUCCCACGUAGCCGGUAAAACCUUGCAUUGCCAUGAAGUAUGGGGGUUUUUACACGCAUACACACCUUAUAUAGUUUUUUUUUUUUUUUUGUAAUCGUUUGAAGGCUUGAUUUAUUUUCCCAUCCCUUAUUGUCGACCCCGCCGCAACGCGCGGGUUUCCCACUA